UCUCUAUCCAAAAGGACGCGGGCGGACCAUUCGGGUUCGUGCGAGUUGGAGUUGCGAUAAAAGCGAUCUAUCGUCAGGCCCUGGACGCGCGGGUACUUGUAGAGUGAUGUGACCGCUUAGCCCAUGCACCGUUAGCUCACUCCCGAUCCGGAUCACGAUCUACUCGUUUCACUUCAGUCUGCGGCGACGACUUUUCUCCUCCCACGCAGAUCUCGUGAGCGCUAGCACCAGCCGCAGCGCCAAAGAGCUCGAUCUGCUGCCGACUUCUUCAGCGCAGCGAACUGGAGAUGGAGAGCCGCUGUUCGGUGUUCAGGCUGCUCUUCUUCAACCUUCUGCCUUCGGCGUCGUGUCUCCUCCUCCCGGAUCCCGGUCGAGAUCUCGUCCACCGCCAGGUCGCACCCUGCUGCCUCAGGGUGCAGCCUUGUGGCCACGAGGCGAGGUCACCGUCUUCGCGUCAACUGGAAUCGCAUCUGGCAUCGACAAGCUUACUAUUUCCUCCGGCUUGAUCUGGCAUCGACAAGCCAUUUCCUCCGGUUGGAUCUGGCAUCGACAAGCUUACUGUUUCCUCCGGCUGGAUCUGGCAUCGAUCUAGAACCAUAUCAUCUGUUUGGUCUUCCCCGCUCCAGAUUUCUCCACCGCAUCGAUCUGGCCUCCCUCCGAACACCUCCCGACUGCAAGGGCUGCUCGAGCGACAGAGCAUCCCGCAGCCGCAGCGGACGAUUGAACGUGUCGCACCCCACUGCACCAUACAGCUAUAUUCUUCCACUUCAUGAGCCACUGUACUACUGGGAAAUAUGUUUUGAUAAUAAACAAGCCUUUAGAUGAGAAGGCAGAUCAUAAUAGGUGAGCAAUACUAUCUUUUUUUCUUUCAAACUAGCAUCUUCUGUAACCCCACAACCCAUAGCAUUGAGCAAGCGCAACCAAUCAUUGUUUGCUCUAUUUGAUUAUUACUGACCGAAAUACUAGCUAUAGUAAUGAUGGCUAAUGGUACACCUCCACAUUUCUUCAAAAUAGCUCUCACUACAUUUUUCACGCGGACAUAUGUUGUUGCUCGAAAAUAUUCUUAUAUGGAGAAUUAUUGGAGAGUCUUAUUUUAAAUAUGUUCAGUUCUAUUAAUUAUGUCAUCAUAGGAAGAGUGACAUUAUUUGUAGACAAUAGUUUGUGUGUUAUUACGAUUAUCCGACUAUAGAGAUUGGUUUUUGACACACCAUACUUGUUUUGCAUGAUGCGUGUUGUUUUUCUUUGUUUUUCUUCUCCGACGAGGCCUGCCCUUCGCUCACAUCUCAAAAGUCCCGAGGAACACGAAGAUCAGCGCACCAGCAGUCAGCAGCUCAAGUUCACCAACCCAGGAAAGAUAAAUAGGAACUAGGGCAAAUAAAAAAUAGUGUUUCUGGCUUUUGCUACCAUGAUAUUGUGAUCAAGAACAGGCUGUGUACUGCCCAUUCCGAUAUGUUUGAAUCAUUGGAGGGGGCAACAUUUUUUUUGUCGGUGCCAAAUGCCAAUAUUCAUGUGUCCCUUUGCUGAGAGCCUGAGCUCGUCAUUUGUCUGUCUUGGACAUGAGCUUCAUUGUAGUAUAUCAGGAUACUUCCAUGACGCCAGAUAUCUUCAGAAGUCAAUUUACAUGGUUUCCUUCCUCCUCUC